AUAAAAUAAAAAUUUCUCUCCCUCUCAUAUAUUGAUGAGAUUUCUGGGAUGUGAUUUGAUAGAAUAAACAAUGAAACCUUUCAAUUUCUGCUGCUGCUGCUGCUGUGGCUUUGAAGUACUGUUUGAGACAGCUGUCAAUAUCCUUUGUAAGGAUUUUCAAGUUGUCAUUAAGCUUUUCUUGAUGUUGUACUUGCCUUCCCCAUAUCUGAAUUUGUAUAGGUAGUUAAUUCUCAUGUUCACCACACUAAGAGUUAAGUUCUCUUUUGCAGAUUUAUGUUGCCAUGACAUGCUUCCAGAACUUCUGUACAGUAUUCUUUUGCUGGCUUGCUUGUUGUCUACAGAAGAUUAUUUUCUUGUUUGAUCAUUUUAAUCACAUAGCUGGUUAGGGUAUUUAGACAUUCAUUUGUUUCAAAUCCAAGGAUCAAUCCAGUUGUUUAAAAAAAAGAUAAAAUUAUUGAAACAAAAGGAGAGAAACUAUUGUAAUAGAUAGAAUCCUAAUAUUGACCUUGAAAACAAACUCAAAUCCUUUAACAUAUCUGUUUAGAGAAGUUUUUUCUUUAUCUGUAUGUCUUAGCCAUAACUUCCUGUACAGGAUGUUUUGUCUAAAAUAGAUGUUUCAUCAAUGCUUUAUCUCUUGAACAAUAAUCAUGGGCAUUUCCUCCAGUCAACUUUUGAUAUCUUUAAACUAGAGGAGCAGGUAUUGGGAGCAUUAACACUUGAUCCAAAUUAGAAUUAGAGGUUUUUUUCCCCCUUUUUAGCGCUUAGAUUUCUUUUCUUACUGAGGCUUAUGUUUGCCUUUGCUGGUUUUGCAGAAGAAGAAAGCAAGCACGGAGAACAUGUAUAAGAUAAACAACAAGAUGAUUCUGUUUCUUCAGAGAAAAGGUUUGUCGUUUGAUAACGUUGUCUUUUCUUCAGAGUUUGAGUUUUUGGAAUUUUUAUGGCAUUCACGUCAUCUUCAUCUACUUUUUUUUGAUGUUAUCAAAUGAAUUGCCAAGGGCUUUAUAACAGCCAGAGAGUUUCUGCUUUUAGGUACACAACUCGAGCCCGAAAAGCAUCAAGUCAGCAGAAAGGUCUGCUGUAGGUGAUCUGACAAAGGAUGAUAAGGAAACAAAGGAUGAGGACGAGAAUCUCAGAAGCAAAGCUCUCAAGGAUGCAAGUAAAUCUAGCAUGUAGCAGCUUAGCUACACAACCAAGAAGAUUAUUUCAGCAAGAACUCCAUGGAUAUGCAUGGAAAAUCGCGAUGCUGCAUCUUGAAAAUGGGCACAACUAAAUGGCCUGCAAACACAGACAAUGUCAUUAAGCUGAUAACAUGGUACUUAAAUUAAGAGUGGAUGUUUUGAAUUUUUGUAGAACUGGAUUUUGUUAUUAUUAUUACUGUCAAAACAUCCAACAUCCAAGUUUUGUGAGUAUUUAGCUGAAUUAAAGUUUCACGAAGUUUCACAAGUUCAUAGCUGAUUCCUGUACUUGUUAGGCUGGUCGACUGAGCUGUGUUGGUGCCUUCGCAGCUAUCGUGCUAUGUCUUGUGAAUUGUGGCUUGUACUCUCUGUUUACUUCGGGAUUCUAGAUAAGUCCUUAAGAUGGUUAGGCUAACAGGAAGUUGAGAUGAUUUUAGGGAGGAUUGGUCAAAGGUCGUUUUGCAUUUCUUUUGUUUAUUUGUUAAUUAGCAUUCUGACCGUAUUUACAUUUUGAAUCAUAACAAUAACAAAAUUAUUUGAGUUGCAAAUUAUAAAUUAGCAUUCU
rnacentral:lncRNA from 1 species